rnacentral:tRNA from 1 species
GGAGUUGUGGCUCAAUGGUAGAGCUCUUGCCUAGCAUGCAGGAGGCACUGGGUUCAAUUCUCAGCACCA